rnacentral:lncRNA from 1 species
GAGUCAAGCACAACCCAGAGUUCCAGUGCCAAAUGAGUCAGUAUGUGAAUUAUCUGCAGUGAAGACUCACCUCAAGACAAGCCCAAAGACCCCCCUGCAGGACAGAGAAGUCCUGUCUGUGAAGACCAUGGUGUCAUGCACAGGGAAGCCGCAGCCAGGAAGAGGAAAAUCAUCGCCUGACCAGGUGCAAUAUUGCCCCCAUCAGGAGCAUCUCUGUAAUGGAAAGUUGCAAUGACUUGUCCAGCUGUUAAAAGAGCAGGAGUUAUCUGUUUUGUAUAUAAAAAAAGGACUUACUGUGUAUAGCACAGGAACUCUGUUCCAUACUCUGGAAUGACCUAAUGGGAAAAGAAUCUAAAAAAGAAUGGAUAUACGUAUAACUAAUUCCCUUUGCUGUACAGCAGAUGCUGACGCAACAGUGUAAAUCAAUUCUACUCCCAUAAAAAAUUUUUCAUAGGUUAUAUUAGCUAAUAGUAUAAUCUCUAAAUAAGGAAAUGGCUGCUAUAAACUAAGAAUAAAUGAGCUUUAUUUUCAGGACA